rnacentral:sRNA from 17 species
ACUUACCGUUGUGCCUCCUCCCAUUGCGCACGGUAAGUGUUCCCCUCUGGAGGUUUGCCCAAAUGGCACCUUCAUAACUUGGCCGGACUUCCCAGUCCGGCUCUU